GCGCCUCUCUGCGCCUGCGCCGGCGCGCCGCGCCUCUCUGCGCCUGCGCCGGCGCGCCGGGCCUUUGCGAGGGCGGAGUUGCGUUCUCCUCAGCACAGACCGGGAGAGCAUCGCGAGGGCGGAGCUGCGUUCUCCUCUGCAGAGAUUUCAGUGGUACUGCGAAGGCGGAGCAGAGUUCUCCUCAGGGUCUCCCUCUGUUGUCCAAGGCUGGAGUGUAGUAGUGCUAUCGCAGCUGACUGCAGCCUCAACCUUCCAGGCUGAAGCGAUCCUCCCAUCUCAACCUCCCACGUGGCUGAGACUACAGGUGCUUGACACUAUGCCCAACUAAUCUUUGGAAUUUUCGUAUACGUGGAUUCCAGAGGGGUGACAGCGAAACCUGCAGGACAAGUUCGAGCAUCUUAAAAUGAUUCAACAGGAGGAGAUAAGGAAGCUCGAGGAAGAGAAAAAACAACUGGAAGGAGAAAUCAUAGAUUUUUAUAAAAUGAAAGCUGCCUCUGAAGCACUGCAGACUCAGCUGAGCACCGAUACAAAGAAAGACAAACAUCAUUUGGGGUAUAUGCUAAAGUUACCAAAGUUGUAGAAAAUAAGGCCGGGCAUUGUGGCUCACAUCUGUAAUUCCAGCACUUCGGGAGGCCGAGGUAGACGGAUCAUUUGAGGUCAGGAGUUCGAGACCAGCCUGGCCAACAUGGUGAAACUCCGUCUGUACUAAUAGUACAAAAAUUAGCCAGGCGUGGUGGUGUGCACCUGUAGUCCUUGCUACUCAGAAAGCUGGGGCAGGAGCAUCGCUUGUAUCCAGGAGGCAGAGGUUGCAGUGAGCCGAGAUUGUGCCACUGCACUCCAGCCUGGGUGACAGAGUGCUAUGAGUCACCACACCUGGUAUGAGCCACCAUGCCUGGCCCACAAUGACUUUUACACAUGUUGUUAAAUCAUCUUACAGAUUUUAUAAUUUGGGGGAAGAAAAGUUUCACUAAAUGGUCUUUUAAUGGAAACUCUACAAGAACCAGAAUCUUUGCUUUGUUCACUUAUGUAUCCAUUCCUAGGCCUAGAAAAAUGUCUGACACAUAGCGGCAAUUAUUCAUUGAAUAAAUGGACCCAGCGAUAGUACAUUAGCUAUGCUAUAUGCAUACAUUAAAGAUGUAGAUUAUUGACUUUCAAAAGAUAAUUAAUGUAACUUCUUACUGCUUCUGAACAUGUUUGUGAGUUAUAUUGCUGAGGGACCUUUAUCUUCUCAUUCUUUCAUCUUAACCCAGUGUUAUAAAAUGGAAAUCACCAAUAUUAUUCCAUAUCUAAAAUUAAUAUCUACCUUGUAAAAAAUAUCACUCUGCUGCAUUUGACAAUAGACUUUUUAGGUAAUAAUGAUGCAAUCCAUAGGGUUUUUUGGGGGCACAGAGGGAUUCAUGCUAAUAGAACAUUUUAUUUUCUAUUUUCCCAGAGCUGUAAAACAUGAAAUUGGGGUAGUAUAAGGCAUAUUUUUACUCUUCUUAGAAUUUUGUCUAAAAAAAAUUAGUGUUUGUUCCCUAUAUAACUUUUAACUUUAUAGGUAAAUAUUUGUCUCUUUCAGCUCCAGUUUUAUGUGAAAUAGAGUUUUCAGAUUUAUGUAGCAUGGAAAGUUUUAAUACGUCAGAGUUACUGAUUUUUGCCAUUUUCUCAAUUAUUUCUUUUUUAUCUUUAGUUGAUUUUUUUGUAGUGACACAUUUUGUUUCUAGUCUCAUUUCCUUUUGUUUAUAUUCUAUGUAUAUUUUGUUUUUGGUUACUAUGAGAAUUACAUAUAACAUCCUAGAGUUAUAACAUUUUAAUUUGAAUUUAUUUCAACUUAAGUUCAAUCACAUACCAAAAUUCUACUGCUAUACAUAUAGCUCUACUCUUUUUAUGUUAUUGAUGUAACAAAUUAUAUCUUUAUUCAUUGUAUACCAGCUAACAGAUUUACAAUUACAUUUUAUGCAUUUGCCUUUUAAAUUAUGUAGAAAAUAAAAAGCAGAGUUACAAACCAAAAUUACAAUAGGACUGUUUUUAUGUUUGUUUAUGUAUUUACCUUUACCAGAGAGCUUUGUAUAUUCAUACAGCUUGCUUAUUUACUUAUAUAGUUAUUGCCUAGAGUUCAUUUAUUUCAACCUGAAGGACUUAACACUUCUUGAAUGGCAAAUUCAGGGAUAAAUGGAUUUUUUUUCAGUUUAAAAAAAAAAUCCGGAAAUGUCUUAAUUUCUCUCUCAUUUUUGAAGGAUAAGUUUUCCAGCUAUAGAUUUCUCAAUUGACAGGUUUCUUCAUUAUUUUAAAUAUAUAAUCCACUGCCUACUGGCCUUCAAGGUUUCUGCCGAGAAAUCAGCUGCUAAUGUUACCUGGAUCCCUAUCUGUGAGAGUUGCUCUUCUCUCUGAGUUUUCAACAUUCUCCCAUUAUCUUUUGUUUGUUUGUUUUUGAGACAAAUAAUUGUACAUAUUCAUGGGAUACAGAGUGAUAUUUUGAUACAUGUAUACAAUGUCCAAUGAUCAAAUAAGGAUAAUUAGCAUAUCCAUCACCUCAAAUAUUUGUCAUUUAUUUGUAUUGUGAACAGUCAACAUUCUUUCUUCUAGUUUUUUAAAUUUAUAAACAUUUAAAUUUUAUUACAGAAAUUUAAAUUUUUUGAUUCUGAAAAAGUCAUAUAUGUAUGCAACAUCGUUUUAUCAUUUAUUUAUAUAUUUAUGCAUCUUUCCUUUAAGUUUUGACAGAGAUUUUCUAUUUUAUCAUUAUUUCAAAAGAACUCUUACCUGUAUUUAUUUAUCAAUUAUAUUUCCCUUGUUUUUUCCUAGUAUAUUAAUUUAUUUACUUAUCUUCUAAAAAUCCUCCAUAUAAUCUGUUUAUUUUGUUUCCUUUCUAUAAUUUCUUCAAUGAUUAGUUCUGUUCUAUUUUCCAUUAAAAUAUUUCAAUCUCGUAUGAAUUUUUGUCAGAUUAGAAAUUUAGGGCAUUUCUUAAUUUCUCUAUAUUCUAGUUUUGACUUUUUUUUUUCUGACCUAAGAGGUAUUUAGAGCACAUUUUAGAUUUUUUAUUUUGACUAAUCAUUUAAAAUGUAUACUAAUCUUCAAUUUAAAUAAAAAACUGGUCUAUAGUGACAAAAAUUACAAAUGAGCCUAACUAAUAAAUUAUUAGCUGUGUUUAUAUGUAUAAGCAUGCACAGAUUUUGGUAAAUAUGCACAUAGUAUAUUGGUGAGCUUAUUUUUAUCAUUCUUAACUCAUUGUGUAGUCUAAACGUUGGGGAAAAAAUAAAAUACAAUAAUCAGAUGGUGUGAAUAAGAAAAUUGUUCUAAUGUUUGUAAACCAAGCAACUGUUUUAACUGCUCCCCUCUUCCUGAUUGACUUCUAAAAGGGAUUAAUCCAUAUUGGGUCCUAUCAUAUAUGUCACGGUAUAACAUCUCCAGCUAUAAAAUGGAAAUUUGAG